rnacentral:rRNA from 1 species
AACGGCGAGUGAAGCGGCAAAAGCUCAAAUUUGAAAUCUGGCUCCUUAGGGGUCCGAGUUGUAAUUUGUAGAGGAUGCUUCGGGUGUGGUCACGGCCUAAGUUCCUUGGAACAGGACGUCACAGAGGGUGAGAAUCCCGUCUUGGGCCGUUAGUCCACGCCCGUGUGAAGCUCCUUCGACGAGUCGAGUUGUUUGGGAAUGCAGCUCUAAGCGGGUGGUAAAUUUCAUCUAAAGCUAAAUAUUGGCCGGAGACCGAUAGCGCACAAGUAGAGUGAUCGAAAGGUUAAAAGCACCUUGAAAAGGGAGUUAAACAGCACGUGAAAUUGUUGAAAGGGAAGCGCUUGCGGUCAGACUCGGACGCAGGGUUCAGCGGGUGCGUGUCACCCGUGCAUUCCCUGCCGCCCGGGCCAGCAUCAGUUCUGACGGCCGGUCAAAGGCCCCCGGAAUGUGUCGUCUCUCGGGACGUCUUAUAGCCGAGGGUGCAAUGCGGCCCGUCGGGACUGAGGAACGCGCU